rnacentral:rRNA from 1 species
UACAGAGGUCUCAAGCGUUGUUCGGAUUCAUUGGGCGUAAAGGGUGCGUAGGCGGCGCGGUAAGUCGGGUGUGAAAUCUCGGGGCUUAGCUCCGAAACUGCAUUCGAUACUGCCGUGCUUGAGGACUGGAGAGGAGACUGGAAUUUACGGUGUAGCGGUGAAAUGCGUAGAUAUCGUAAGGAAGACCAGUGGCGAAGGCGGGUCUCUGGACGGUUCCUGACGCUGAGGCACGAAGGUCAGGGGAGCAAACGGG